CAGGAUGAACGCUAGCGGCAGGCUUAACACAUGCAAGUCGAGGGGCAUCGGGAGGGAAGCUUGCUUUCCUUGCCGGCGACCGGCGCACGGGUGAGUAACACGUAUGCAACCUGCCCUCUUCAGGGGGACAACCUUCCGAAAGGGAGGCUAAUCCCGCGUAUAUCGGUUUCGGGCAUCCGAGAUCGAGGAAAGAUUCAUCGGAAGAGGAUGGGCAUGCGGCGCAUUAGCUAGACGGCGGGGUAACGGCCCACCGUGGCGACGAUGCGUAGGGGUUCUGAGAGGAAGGUCCCCCACACUGGUACUGAGACACGGACCAAACUCCUACGGGAGGCAGCAGUGGGGAAUAUUGGUCAAUGGGAGAGAUCCUGAACCAGCCAAGCCGCGUGAGGGAAGACGGCCCUAUGGGUUGUAAACCUCUUUUGUCGGAGAACAAAACCCGGGACGAGUCCCGGACUGCGUGUAUCCGAAGAAAAAGCAUCGGCUAACCCCGUGCCAGCAGCCGCGGUAAUACGGAGGAUGCGAGCGUUAUCCGGAUUUAUUGGGUUUAAAGGGUGCGUAGGCGGUCCGUUAAGUCAGCGGUAAAAUUGCGGGGCUCAACCCCGUCGAGCCGUUGAAACUGGCAGACUUGAGUUGGCGAGAAGUACGCGGAAUGCGCGGUGUAGCGGUGAAAUGCAUAGAUAUAGCGCAGAACUCCGAUUGCGAAGGCAGCGUACCGGCGCCAGACUGACGCUGAGGCACAAAAGCGUGGGGAUCGAACAGGAUUAGAUACCCUGGUAGUCCACGCAGUAAACGAUGAAUGCUGGUUGUCCGGGUCGAAUGAGAUCUGGGCGGCGAAGCGAAAGCGAUAAGCAUUCCACCUGGGGAGUACGCCGGCAACGGUGAAACUCAAAGGAAUUGACGGGGGCCCGCACAAGCGGAGGAACAUGUGGUUUAAUUCGAUGAUACGCGAGGAACCUUACCCGGGCUCAAACGGGAGUGGAAUGGACCAGAGACGGUUCAGCCUACGGGCCGCUUCCGAGGUGCUGCAUGGUUGUCGUCAGCUCGUGCCGUGAGGUGUCGGCUUAAGCGCCAUAACGAGCGCAACCCCCGCCGGCAGUUGCUAACGGGCAAUGCCGAGGACUCUGCCGGGACUGCCGGCGCAAGCCGCGAGGAAGGCGGGGAUGACGUCAAAUCAGCACGGCCCUUACGUCCGGGGCGACACACGUGUUACAAUGGGGGGUACAGCGGGAAGCCAGGCGGCGACGCCGAGCGGAACCCGAAAGCCCCUCUCAGUUCGGAUCGGAGUCUGCAACCCGACUCCGUGAAGCUGGAUUCGCUAGUAAUCGCGCAUCAGCCAUGGCGCGGUGAAGGGGUUCCCGGGCCUUGCACACACCGCCCGUCA
rnacentral:rRNA from 1 species